GGCUAGCAGGACUUCCCGACGUGUCGACGACCCCGAUAAGAGCAGUGUAUCUCAGUCUCAGGACACGCCGGAUGGAACUAGCUACAAGUACCAAACCUCAAGUUUCCUUGUGGUGGCCCCGCACGCGGACCAGUUUGGACCAACACUCAUGAGGAGCACUGCCCCGGGUUGUUGAUUAAAGAUCCUCGGGGUAGCUACUCCCUAUGCAGAUUAUUAUUAAGUUAUUAGCAAAUUAACACCAAUGUUGGGUCCUGCCGGACAAGCCUUAGCACUACGCGAUUUAUCAAGGGGGUCCCCAUAACAACCCCGAACGUGUUAGGAGCGAUCAUUAUGGAAUCAAACACCGGUAACCGGUAACUAAGGCGGCAAUAACGGAACAAAGCACCCGGCAAAAGUCUAGGCCUCCCGUCAUUUACCAAGUAUAUAGGUGCAUUAAAUAAAUAACAGAAUUUGAUAUAAUGAUAUCAAGCUCAUGUCAUCACAUGAGUGUAAAACACCUACAACUAGCAAUGCUAACAUUAGUAGUUGAGCAAGCCUACUUAGCCACACAAGUUUGCUAGGAAGGAGAACGGUGUUUGGGCUCAUGGCAUUUCAAGAGGCAAUUUAAUUUCAGUGGUAGGCAGCGAGCAAUAUGACAUGGAAACGAAACUAACAUAACAAGUCUAGAGAUGGAAUCAAGGUCAUAUCAUCUUGCGUGUGGUAUCCUCAGCUUGGAAUGGUUCUGGUUUGUCCUGCACGUACUCUCCUGACUCCAUGUAUUCGUUCUCCGAUCCCGGUGCUACCCAACAUGAGAAUAACAGCCAAUGAACAGCAGCACCACAAGAUGCAACAAUCACAUGAUGCAUGAGAUGAAAAUUGAGCAUGCACCACUAUUUCUAACACUAGCACAUGCAAAAUAAACUACUGCAAGUUUCUGGACAGAACUGUAC
rnacentral:lncRNA from 1 species